AUACAGCUGACGAGUCCCAAAUAGGACAAAAUUCGCGUCCUAGAU
rnacentral:hammerhead_ribozyme from 1 species